CGGCGAGUGAAGCGGCAACAGCUCAAAUUUGAAAUCUGGCUCUCGGGCCCGAGUUGUAAUUUGUAGAGGAUGCUUCUGGCACGGUGCCUUCCGAGUUCCCUGGAACGGGACGCCUUAGAGGGUGAGAGCCCCGUACGGUCGGACACCUAGCCUCUGUGAAGCUCCUUCGACGAGUCGAGUAGUUUGGGAAUGCUGCUCUAAAUGGGAGGUAAAUUUCUUCUAAAGCUAAAUAUUGGCCAGAGACCGAUAGCGCACAAGUAGAGUGAUCGAAAGAUGAAAAGCACUUUGAAAAGAGGGUUAAACAGCACGUGAAAUUGUUGAAAGGGAAGCGUUUGCGACCAGACUUUUCCCUGGCGGAUCAGUUGGCAGUUUCUGCUGAUGCACUUCGCCAGGUUAAGGCCAGCAUCGGUUUUCGGAGGGGGACAAAAGCUUAGGGAACGUGGCUCCCCCGGGAGUGUUAUAGCCCUUCGCAUAAUACCCCUCUGGGGACCGAGGAUCGCGCAUCUGCAAGGAUGCUGGCGUAAUGGUCGUCAACGACCCGUCUUGAAACACGGACCAAGGAGUCGAACAUUUGUG
rnacentral:rRNA from 1 species